CGGGAAGUAGCUCAGCUUGGUAGAGCACUUGGUUUGGGACCAAGGGGCCGCAGGUUCAAAUCCUGUCUUCCCGACCA
rnacentral:tRNA from 14 species